UUGGAGGGCAAGUCUGGUGCCAGCAGCCGCGGUAAUUCCAGCUCCAAUAGCGUAUAUUAAAGUUGUUGCAGUUAAAAAGCUCGUAGUUGAAUUUCGGGGUCAGUAGGUUGGUCAUGCCACUGGUAUGUACUGGUCUCACUGAUUCCUCCUUCCUGAUGAGCCGUAAUGCCAUUAAUUUGGUGUUGCGAGGAAUCUGGACUGUUACUUUGAAAAAAUUAGAGUGUUUAAAGCAAGCUAACGCUUGAAUACAUUAGCAUGGAAUAAUGAAAUAGGACGUUCGAUCCUAUUUUGUUGGUUUCUAGGAUUGACGUAAUGAUUAAUAGGGAUAGUUGGGGGCAUUAGUAUUCAAUUGUCAGAGGUGAAAUUCUUGGAUUUAUUGAAGACUAACUACUGUGAAAGCAUUUGCCAAGGAUGUUUUCAUUAAUCAAGAACGAAAGUUAGGGGAUCGAAGACGAUCAGAUACCGUCGUAGUCUUAACCAUAAACUAUGCCGACUAGGGAUCGGAUGAUGUUAAUUUUUUAAUGACUCAUUCGGCGCCUUACGGGAAACCAAAGUGUUUGGGUUC
rnacentral:rRNA from 1 species